UUAAGUUCAGCGGGUCUUCCUACCUGAUCCGAGGUCAACCUUGGGUUAGAAAGGUCGUUUAACGGCCGGAACCCGCAGCACGCCCUGAGCGAGAUGAUAUUACUACGCUCGGUGUGACAGCGAGCCCGCCACUGGUUUUCAGGGCCUGCGGCAGCCGCAGGUCCCCAACACAAGCCGGGGGCUUGAUGGGUGAAAUGACG
rnacentral:misc_RNA from 1 species